GUCGUACGCAGUUUCUUCACCGAGUGCUUGCACUCACCGAAGAAACUGAGUCCCUAACGGGUGAGUAACACGUGGGUAACCUGCCCAAAAGAGGCGGAUAACACUUGGAAACAGGUGCUAAUACCGCAUAACAACAAAAACCGCCUGGUUUUUGUUUAAAAGAUGGUUUCGGCUAUCACUUUUGGAUGGACCCGCGGCGUAUUAGCUAGUUAGUAAGGUAACGGCUUACCAAGGCAGUGAUACGUAGCCGAACUGAGAGGUUGAUCGGCCACAUUGGGACUGAGACACGGCCCAAACUCCUACGGGAGGCAGCAGUAGGGAAUCUUCCACAAUGGACGCAAGUCUGAUGGAGCAACGCCGCGUGAGUGAAGAAGGUUUUCGGAUCGUAAAACUCUGUUGUUAGAGAAGAACGUGUGUGAGAGUAACUGUUCAUGCAGUGACGGUAUCUAACCAGAAAGCCACGGCUAACUACGUGCCAGCAGCCGCGGUAAUACGUAGGUGGCAAGCGUUGUCCGGAUUUAUUGGGCGUAAAGGGAACGCAGGCGGUCUUUUAAGUCUGAUGUGAAAGCCUUCGGCUUAACCGAAGUCGUGCAUUGGAAACUGGGAGACUUGAGUGCAGAAGAGGAGAGUGGAACUCCAUGUGUAGCGGUGAAAUGCGUAGAUAUAUGGAAGAACACCAGUGGCGAAAGCGGCUCUCUGGUCUGUAACUGACGCUGAGGUUCGAAAGCGUGGGUAGCAAACAGGAUUAGAUACCCUGGUAGUCCACGCUGUAAACGAUGAAUGCUAAGUGUUGGAGGGUUUCCGCCCUUCAGUGCUGCAGCUAACGCAUUAAGCAUUCCGCCUGGGGAGUACGACC
rnacentral:rRNA from 1 species